UCAAUAAUAAGUAUAGAAGAUCUACUUAGACCUAUAAGAAGGUCAUGCCCACCGACGCUUAGCACCAUCCACAUCAGCACAAAUCUAGUACCUGCAACAACAUGGGUUCGAAAACCCUAAGUACGAAGUGUACUUUCGCAAGUAUUACUCGUCUAAGGAAAAAGACUCUCAAGGAUAUGCUGGCUUUUUGGAGUCAAGGUAAAGCUUAUCAAGAUUCAAAGACACUUUUUGCAGAAAAGCUUACUAUGAGUGGAUCCUUAAGAAUUCAUUUUACUUGUCAGGUUAAGUAGUUACCCACAUCUAGAUUUCUUUCUAUUCUAUAUCAAGCACUUGGCCUAUACUAGCUGUCUUUUAUCAUCCCUUGAGUUCACUUGUCACUACGUGUAGGUCAGUGACCAAGUCUUCAUGUCCGAGAAGUAACGAUGAUCCGAAUCGAUUAAUACCCAGCUGGGGAUCUCCAACCACACGAUAUAUGUAGCACUUAACCCUUGCAUAUGUCAACUCGCACCCGGGUUUCUCAAGACCAGAAUGGGUUCACGCCAACCGAGAGCACAUAUACUCCACUGUCCAGCCUCUUGCCACGGAGGGUACACGCUACUCUCGCCAUCUCUCCACUCCCAUUGUGUGGUAGCCUUUCUGCUAUUGGUCCGACUAAGGCCAAGCUUACCCAUGACGAGGCAUGUGGCUAGUUAAAAGAUCCUCGAUCAUCAAGCCUACAUCGGCCCGAUCCUUAAGCGACUCAGACGGAGACACUAGAACUCUUCGUCAAAUAAUACACUUCUUUGCGCAAGGAACUUCCAAAAGUGUUUUUACAGAUACUAGCAAAGAGAGCUUCCAAAGUCUCCUUUAAUGCUUCAGAUCUAGCUUCGGCCCACUAGCUUUUGGCAUCGUCAUCCUGAAGAAUGACAAAGGCAGGGAUACUGAGGAACAUGGUAAGAAAAAAUAUAAAAUAAAAGCACAAAGGUAAAAAGAUUUUUUAUACCUUGUUGAGUAGGUUUCGAGCUUCGUCUCCAGCCAGUUCUCGGCCGCCCUUUGCCCAGAUUUGGGUAAUAAAUCUAUUGCCUAUACUUCGGGCUUCGGUCGGAAUGUCGAUAAGGUCAGAUGGCGAUAGGCUAAAGUUUGGCCUGUUGAUGGCUCUUGCAUGAUUGCAUCCAGCUUUUAUGAAAGCAGCAGCUGUACCACGAGAAGCUACUAGCGCACAGAAAUCACUGUGGCCAGUUAUGACUUCAUCAAGGACGUCAACUUAUUUUCAAUACAUUCGAGUGCCCCGGGGAUAUCUUCAGCAGAGAGAUCAGCUUCUUCGGACAUGGCUCCGACAGAAUUGAAGAUAUCUUUUAGCUGAGCAGUACAUUGAUCCGCAAAGCUGAAGCAUUUAUUAAGAGCUUUAAGCGUUUCACUUAGUUUCAGGUUCUUCUUAGCUUCAACCUUGAUUGUCAUAUUUAAAGCUUUGGUUUCACGGCUGAACUGACUUGAGUUCUAUUUCAAAAAUGUUUGAGUUUCCUUCAGCUCUUUGCUUAAUUUUUCAUUCUGAGCCCAGGCUUCGGCAAGUGAGCCUUCAGCUGAACGCAGCUGGCUGUCUUUUUCCUUCAAAGAAUCUUCAAAUUUUUUGAUCUUAUCUUCAAAGCCUUCAACGACAAUUUCAUUUUUCUUACUUCGUCAUCUUGCUGCAUCUUCAAGGCUUUGUUUAGCAAUAGACUCUAAAAAACAAAUUAAAGUUAGAAUACUUAAAUCAACACGAAGAUACCGUUGAUAACCUGUAAAGGAGUCUUACUUUGAAGUUUGAGUAAAACAAGCUGCCAAUGAUGUAAUGUCAUCUAUAGCAACUAAUAUCUUUUUCUAGCUUCGGGAAUCCAACGCUCUUAGAUAAAGUGCUUAUAAUCUUAGCUCUGGCACGGUCGCGGAUGCAUCCCAAAAUCUCUUCAUCAACCUCGUCGAAGAGCAUCGAUCUAGGUUGGUAGCCGCAGGAUAUGGCAAAUUCCUUCAAUUCUGAUAUGUCCUCUUCGGAAAGCUGUUGGCCGCCCAAGUUCCGAAGGUUGAAAUUCAUAUCUUCUGAAGAGGUCUCUUCAAUUCUCUUCCCCUUAUCAGAAGGCACUGUGGCUACAUCUUUCUUAGCAACCACAUUUGAUAUAAGUCUGUCGAUUUUCGACAUCGUGGUUGCAAGAUUAUCGGCUUCGGCUCCGACGGUGUCUUCGAUGUCACGGAACCUCCCAAUGUAUUAGGCCCACCUACAGGUCCUUGUCCAAAGGACCUCAGAGAGUCAUGCAGGUGCGCGUAAUCACUUGGCAAGUUCGGUUAUCUGUAUCUUCAUCAUACCGCCCAAGAGCGCUUCACCCACCAUGCAGACAUUACACACAUAAUCGGAGAAAAGAAUAAGCAGAAGGAUUACAAUAAUAUAGUUUACAUUCAUACCAAAUAUAGAGAGAGUAUUUAUUACAUGACGGGUGUUCGAGUGCAACACUUAAUAUUACAUAACAGGGAGGCAAAACACCCUCCCACCAACAAACUUAGUGAUCUUCCUCCUGCUUUGGCACCACCUUAGAGCAGAAACAGCAAAACUCGACUGUUUCAUCACCUACAAUAACAUGGGUUCGAAAACCCUGAGUACGGAGUGUACUUUCGCAAGUCUUACCCGACAAAGGAAAAAGACUCUCAAGGAUAUGCUGGCUUUUGGGAAUCAAGGUAAAGCUCAUCAAAAUUCAAAGACUCUGUUUGCAGAAAAGCUUACUACGAGUGGAUCCUUAAAAAUCAUUUUACUUGUCAGGUUAAGUAAAGUUACCUGCAUCUAGAGUUCUUUCUAUCCUAGAUCAGGCACUUAGCCUAUGCUAGCCGUCUUUUAUCAUCCCUUCAAUUCACUGGAUUGCUACGUGUAGGGCAGUGACCAAGUCUUCAUGUCCGAGAAGUAACGGCGAUCCGAAUCGAUUAAUACCCAGCUAGGGAUCUCCAACCACACGACAUAUGUAGCACUUAACCCUUGCAUAUGUCAACUCGCCAACGGGUUUCUCAAGACCAGAAUGGGUUCACGCCAACCGAGAGGAUAGAUACACCACUUUCCAGCCUCUUGCCAAGAAGGGUACACGCUACUCUCGCCAUCUCUCCACUCCCAUUGCGUGGUGGCCUUUCUGGUAUUGGUCUGACCGAGGCAAAGCUUACCCAUGACGAGGCAUGUGGCCAGUUAAAAGGUCCUCAAUCAUCAAGCCUACUUCGGUCCUUAUUCGACUUAGAUGGAGACACUACACCGAGACUUCCUUCUUGUGCAAGUCACCAACCCGAUCUCGUCUUUAUCAUUUAAACCCCAAAGUUUGGUACCUAACACAGGUACAUCUUUUCAGAUGCUGAACCCAUCAUGGCCAUGAUGGAUUCACCAUCACUUGUCUUUUUUUUGUAAAAUUCCCAUCCCAUAUGAAGCAUCACCUUUUAUUUUAAAACAAAACAUUUUGUUUUCUAAAGCAAAGCUAAGCAUUAUAAAACUUUAAGUAAAUCAGGUAACAAGGAAUGGGAAUCAGUUUCCAAGGAAGGAAAUGCAGCAAUUGUUUAGCACACAACUCCUAUCACCUAAUGCAUCAUCUCAAGUGAUAAAGAGUUUAAAACAACAAGGAAAGGGGUAAAUGCACCGGGGCUUGCCUUGUGUUGCAAGAGGCUCCGGGUUUGUUCCACAGAUGUCGAAGUAGAAGUUAUUCUCGGCUGGUGGGUUCUUAGCUUGAGGUACAACUUCUUUUUCAACUACAGUCUCUUCCUCUUUUUCUAUACAUAACAGUACAUAUACAUGAGUGCUUAUGUGAUGCUAUGAAUAUGCAGUUACAUAACAGAAACCUACUAAGUUGUAUCUUGAAUAAAACUUUCCUUCACGGUAAACACUAGUCACUAGGGUUUCUUAAGUUGGUGUUCUAUCAGUAUUAGGCAAUUAAACCCUAGGAGGCUAGUUUAUUGGGUUUGGGAACAAACAAUGUCCAAAUCAUUUCAAACUUCACCCAAGGUCUUUAAUCAUUAAACUAAGCUUACCCAAAAAGUUUUACCAUUUUUAGAGCUACUAAAUUAUUUCUAAAAUUCUAAAAGGCUUGGUUUCAACACCUUUAAAGGCUACAUAAUCCUAGGCUUUGAAUAAAAAUCUUGGAACUAUUUUAAUUAAAUACUAGAUAAUUUUAGGAGCCUAGCAAAAUUAGUCUCAUAUUUGUAUCGUUUUUCUACUAUUUUCUAUGCAUUUCUUAAUCUGUCAGCAAAAAGAAAAGGAAAAACAGUGAACAGGACUGGGCUCAUUCCAGCCCAAACCAGCCCGCGACCAGGUAAAACGCGCGCGCCCGCGCCUGCGUUGGCAACUUUGCGCAGAGACCCUCGGCUAUUUGAAAAACCGGUAAAGAACCUGUGACACUGUUUCUCUGUUUCACUGACAUUUGUGCAUAAACCCUUAAGUUUCUAUUUCUUCUCCAACUCAAACCCUAGCGACGGCGCGCUCGCCCGCCGACCAUCCCAUGCUGGGACUCGCCUCGAAUGGCGACAAUUGACGAAACUGAGCAUUGGAUCACAAUCCCUGAACCCCGGCAAGCCUAGGCCAUGUUCUAAUCGAGCUAAUUCGACCCGGAGUUCCCUUGCCCACGACGACGUUGAAACCCAAGGACGGACCGAGGUGUUCCCGACGAUCCAGCGCGGUCUAGUUCAAUUAAUCGAGUCUACGAGCAACAGGAGACUCUAAGGAUGCUAGAACACGGAUCAGAGAAGCGCGAAUCAACCUGUGGAUGGCUGACCACGGCGAGGUGCCAACGACGGCGAAUUUGACUGAUUUGGGGGAAGUACUGAAUUCACGGGCUAUGGCGGCUAAUCGGAGGCGGGAAUUGGUGUUCUAGCUUCGUAACAAGCUAACGGAGCAGGCCGCACACUCAAUUUAUAGCGUCCGCAAGCGGUGGCUCCGAAUUUAGGAAAGGUAAGCUGGCGGCCGGAGAGGAGACGAGUCACCGGAGCAAAACUACCAUGGCGCUCACCGUGCUAAGUCUCAGGCGACCCAGGGGCUAUCUACAGCGAUCUACUGCGACGUUCACUGAACCUGGAAUCUGAUUCAGGUUACUGUACCAUGGGAGCUCCAUUUAGUACGCCAGACCGAGCAAGUUGAGGAGUCCCAUUCUCUAAUUUCCAUGUAAUAGCCCCCUAAUCCAUCUGUAGCAAAAUUGUUCUUCUAUAAACCAGCUUUAAUUUUGUUAUAGCAACCUCGAUCAAACAUCCACUGGAUCCUAUUCAAAAUCAAUCUCAAAGUUCAUCUCAGUUCACUGAUAGUCGAAUUUUAGUUUCAGUGGUGACUGACAGCCCAACUUUAGGUCCAUUUUUCUCCCAUUUCCAUACAGCACCAAGGCUUAGUCAUUUAAUCAAACUUGAGCUACUAACAUAGCUCUAUUAUUUUGUUGUAAUGGCCUAGGGCAAAAUCGUCAUGGAUUAAGAGAUACAAGGUCAUAAACUUGGCCUAAUGUCACUAAUUUUCAGAGUUUAAGCCACAUAGUGACUUGGGGACUUUUUACAAUUAACUCCAAUUUGUUCCACAUCACUUGAAAAAUCUUCCAAUGUAAAAGUUGUUUAGUUUUUUAUACUCUACCUCUUUGAUAUAGACACUUUGGUCCAAAAGUGUAUAGAAAUUGAAAUAACCUUAUAGGGCACAAAUUAGGUUUUCCAGGGCUCUUAUUAGGGUUUUGAGUGUUCUAGGGUUUGUGUGCCAUUCAAAUCCAUAAAGUUUAGUCUCUUAUGAAGCUUUCCACUAAUUUUUGAGGUAAUACUUAAUUUGGUAUCACACACACCCAUAUACCUAAAUCCCAUGGUUAAGUACCCUACUCUAGGGUUAAGAAGCACUUCAAGUCAUCACAUCACAACUUGUUUUUGAAGUUUUAGCCCAGUGGAUGCAUUCUAGGUGUAACAAACAUAAUGACAUGACAAUGCAUAUGAUGUCAUGCCCAAAUUUUAGUUCUUGUAACACUAGGGGUGUUACAUUCGGCAUCGACGGGUAUAGUAUCUUUAUCCACCGAAGCUGGGGGCAGGGUUUGUUCAAUAGCUUCCAUCACAUUCAUCAUUCGCCGCUUCUUUUGCCCCCCAUUUUCCUCUCGACAACUGAAGCGAUUUCCUUUGACUGCAAGAGGCUAGUCAGAGCCAACCUCAAAGGACUUAGCAGUGCAGAUGGGAAUGGUUCAGUCAUUACCUUCGAAAUUUCCGAAACCUCAGCAGCAGAAGGCGAAGAAGGCCCCAUAUUCUACUUUGGCAUAUCUUGUACUUCCGUUUCCACAGAAGAUACCCUGAUGAGUUUCUGUUUCUUGGGAGUCGAUUCUUUCGGCUCCGAUAGAGUUUUCUGCUUCUUCAAAGCUUUCUGGUCCUCCUUGACCGACCGGAUGGCCUGUCUAUUCAUAAUGCUGGCAAUUCUUUUCCUUUUGGCUCCUCCGGUCCCUUCAUCAAGUCUCUCGUAAUCAGGAUACUCAAAGUUCGAAGUGUCCAUCACACGGUUCAACCUUCGUUUUGGGCGGGUGCCAAAGGCAGCAAUCAUCAAUUGAUCCUCUUUCUUUGUAUAAUUUCCAAGAAUUUCAUUACACAUAAUUUCUAUUAUUACAUCCAUUCAUUUCAUGGUUUCUUAAAUCUUUUCUAGAACUUAAACUGGCAAGGCAGCUAGACAAGUUCAUACUUUUUCCCUUCUUUCUUCUUCAGCAUUCCCCAACCGCCAGAGGUCGGAAAUGUCCUGUUCACCAAGUAUUCUUGCACUAAGUCUCUAGUGCUGAUAUGCUCAGCCACAACCCUGAACUCCACUUCGGCCAACUAGCAAGGAGACGCCAACUACAUAUUGCACAAGGGCCGAGUCAUGCCGAUGUUCAAUCUCAACGGACUCAUCACCAUGCUCAUGAGUUUCUCCCUUUUCUUCUCGUCAGCUUUCACGUAAAACCACUCGUUUGUCCACCCGGUCGGCCAUUUGGUGCGGUAGCCUAUCACGGGGGCCUUUGUGUCCUUCCGGUAUGCGAAGUUGUAGCAUCCGAAGUUCUUGUGUAGGCCAUCAGCUCUUGCCUUCGUCUGAUAAUGAAGCUCAUGUACCCGGCAGACCCCUUCGGCGUUGGCUCUUUUUCCUUGGCUUCGAAGAGCCCAGAUAUACACGUUGAGCCUAAUAAUGGCAUUCGGGGUCAGCUGAUGUAGGUAGAUUUCAAACUUUUUCAAAACUUCACCUAUCAUUUCAUAAAGGGGGAACCGAACUCCCGCCCUAAAGAAGCUCUUGAAGACUACAACUUCAUCUUCUUUCGGCUCUGGAAUUGUCUCCUCUCCAGCAAAGCGGACCAGUUCAUCAUCAUUUUCUCCAAAAUAUCCUAGCUUCUUCAUUAGAACUAGUUCUUCAGCUUUAACUAUGGAUCUCCCAAAUUCAACAUGGAUGGGCUUAGUCGGAUAUAGAAUGCUAUCAUCAUCCUCACUUUCAUUAUCACUUUCAGCUUCAGCCACGGCCUAUUCAGUUCUGAGAUGGGAGCCCAGAGUGCCUCAUCAUUUCUGAGAUGGGAGCUAUCUCAGUCAUUUCAGUCUCGUCUCCCUCACGAGUUACCCUUGCAGUUGAUCUUACUCUGGCCAUUUCGCUGUUCAAACUCUCACAGACGAAGUUGUGCUUGAAUGGUGAAAUGCUUGUUCGAAGUAUAAUGCAGAAAGCUUCGGCUUCGGUGAAAAUUUUCAACAGCACAACGGUGCAAUAGCAAUGCAUGUUGUGGUAACUUCUCACCAACUUGUCUAUUUAUAUAGCCCUGCAAGAGAAGAAGGUAAACCGCCAAGAUGCACGUACUGGCUGAUAGGUGAACAGUAUCCUCGUACUGUUCACUCUUGAUUGUAAUCACUCUCGUGUCAGCACCUUCGAACAAGCCGAAGGUAUCGAUGUAAUAUAAAUCCUAUUAAUGUUCGUAUGUACAUUAUGAAAUACAAAUGUGAAUAAACUAAUGAAUUACAUUCAUUAUUUUUAUGUAUCCUCAUUCACAUAUUAAAUGAUGAAGGCAUGUCCUUCACGACCUUCGUCUGAUGAUCAUUAUAUCCGAGAGGAGAUAAUGUUUCAAAGGACGAAGGUCCUCAAUUCUUAACUGUCACACCCGGCUUUAGAAGGCAAACCGAAUGCGAACCAUGUACGUGCCAGGAUCAGCAAUUCAUGUACACAGCAGUUACAUAACCGGACAUCAUCACAUAAUGCUCGAAUAAUAACAUAAAAGAUAGUACUAGUCGAUUACAUCAUGAUGUCUGAGACAUCCACAUAGUCUUUAACAAUAAUCAAAAUGUGAAAAUGAAACGUAGAUACAUGCGGCCUUCAUAGGCAGCCAACUAGGGGUUGCCGCUAACCCACGCCUAAAACUCGUCGUACUCUUGGAACUCCUGGAAGUCUUCCUCCAUGGCUUCAUCUUCUCCUGAGCAGCGGUUGCAACAUGGACAACCUAGGGGGUUUGGUGUGUAAAGCAAGGGUGAGUACACAUCAACAUACUCAACAAUUGUCCCGUUUGGCUGUAGCGGACUAGCUUUAUGUGGGGUUAAGUCAAGCAGUUGCUUUUAGUUGGUCAGGUUAUUAUUACUAGUAGAGAGCCAGAUUUUAGCAUUAACCCAAGUUGUUAACCCAAAAGUACCCUUUCCAAAUGGAAAGAAUACCACUUACCAUUACAAUAGUCAUAAUCAAACCAUCAUCCACGUCACCACCUGUAGACCAACCAUCUCUGAUCAAGGUAUCUCUAAUCAUUGGAGCUCCCUUGGCCGCGCAUAAUAGUGAGCACUGUUGAUAUAUCAGUUUCAUAACACUUUGCAGAGGUUGCGCACUUUACCCACAAGCCGUGAUUCCCUUUCUGCCCGGAGAGAGCUACUCCCCAUUGACCACUACCUAGGUGGCCUAGCAGAGUAUCACUAUGAAGCCUUUACAAACAUUCCCCGAGGGUGUAGCCGCCUGUUAGGUUUCCUAAAUGUACUGCACUCCUCCUCAAGAGGCAAUCCACCCUCGGCAGAGCGAGCCGCAUACACCGAGCCCCAUUGACGGCACGACGGCGAAGCGAACUACACCCCAGUUCAUCUAAUUAUUCAGCUAAGGGCGUCUCAUACCACCCUCAUGGUUGCACUCUUUUCCCGGGCGGUCAUCCAACGAAUAGGUCCUUACGAAGAGGCACUCGAGAAACCGCUCGAGUCCCCUUAAAUGCCACAAGUAUAUCAUCAUAAUCAAAAGGGGAAACAACGUAUCAUGAAUAAUCUCAUCAUGUUCAUUGAUUAAUGUGAAGCACUAGCAUAAAGCUAAACCAAAAUAACCCAACCCAAAUAGGUAAACAAGGACAUGAUAAACAAAGCUAGUCAAUUCUUAGGUAUAAAUUGUGUAAAUAUGGGGAGUGAAUUAUAAAGUGAAUAGGACAUAGAAGGGUCAAGGGACACUUGCCUUCACUAAACAGAUGCUCAGGAUCUUCAGCCUCGUAAAACUCGAAGAGCCUGAUCACUUGGUCGCCAAAACUUGAUCGCCGACUCCUUGAAGCUCAGGAAUACAUCGCAAUCUAUUCGCGACACCCAGCGAAGACAAACAAGAACAAGCAAACGAACAUAUAUAUGCAUAAGAACAUUACACCAUACAAGAUAAAAUAUUAUCAAAAUGAGCAACAUAUAAAAAUAGAGAGCGCUUCUACGGUUAUGUCGGGAUAAGAAAAGCGACGGUCGAAGCUACAGUCAAGAAAUUAUAACGUUUACGCUAUACAAGGACAUUUAAUUCGACAUUAUAAAAUAUAAAUUAUAACUGCUACGUAGUUUUAAUUAAAUCUGCUACACUAACAGUUGUCAAAUGAAUAACUAAUAUAAUUAGCAAGAGAGAUUCUAAGCGAGGCAAGUUUACGAUGCGCGAAACAGCAUGACAGCGUGCGAACGACACGCGGACACGCGCGACAUAGCACGCUGACAACACACGAAAACAGUGCGCGCGACUGGAGCGAACGACGCGCGAACCAGCACGUUACCACGUGCGGAACAGCAUGCGCAAGAGGCGAGAAACUAAAUAGGUGACACAUUUGUACUAAACUAAUAUUAAAUAAAUAAAAAGUAGUUAAGUUAAUAUUAGUCAUAUUAAUGUUUAUUAUAAAAGCGCAAGUUGAACACUAUACAUUUAAUCUAAUUGGAAUAUUAAUCUAAUAAAUAUUAGUCGAGCAAACCUUAAAUUAAUUAUCUAAAAUGUGUGGCCUGACGAAUUAACGUUAUUAACAUGAGUGUUUAUAAGCGAAAAAAAUUUAUUAUCACGCGCAGACGCCAUGCGACACACGCGAACGGAGCGCGACAACGCGUGCGAACAGCAGGCGCGACACUCGCGAACGACACACGACGACGCGCGUGAAACAGCGUGCGGCCGACACACAAAACAACACACGCGAUAGCGCGCGAACGCCGUGCGCGAACAGCACGACAACAAGCACAUCAUGCGAGGAUCGCUAACAAAUAUCGCGCACAAACUAAGCGAGUACUAAUUAAGAAUAUUUGAGUUAGCAUUAAUUACAAUAACAUGUAUUUAUAAAGCGCAAGUAAAAACUAUAAAUUAGUUUUAAUUAGAAAGCCAUUUUAGUGACUAUCAAUUAAAUAAACAAUUAAUUAAUUAAUUAUAACACGUGUCAUGGCAAAAUAAUGCUACUAACACAUAAUCGACAUUAUUAUAAAGCUAACGCGACUGAAACGUGUAGAAACGGGUCUGCGACCCAAAAUAUAUCGACUAUAUAAUACUUGUGGAAUUACGAUGAUGUGGCACAUUUUCAUUGGCCCGAAACAAAGCCACGCAACGGACCACAAAGAGCAUGGCUGCUGAAAAUCGUUCACAACUAGGCCUAUGGACCUUGACACAUGACGAGAUGGUUUUUUCUAAAGCAUAGCGCACGUACAGUAAUGGGAUCGUGGGGCCCAUGGCAUUUCUCUUUUCCAGUCUAUUCGCUCGCCAUUUGAACGUGGUCAGUUUUUCUUUCUUCUACAACCUGUACGCGCAUAGAGAAGAAGGUCGUUCGUCGGCUGCCGCGGCGUCUCACUGGAAGGGAGUAGGAAUGAGCAAGGAAGGGCGGCGCGGCGCAGGGGCUAGCUGGCCGGAAUGGUGACAGAGCGACGCGCAAGGGGCGAGCACGGCCCGGGACGAUCUUCCUGAGCAGGGCGGGCGAGCGUCUCACAGAGGCUGGCGCCAAGGCGCACAACAGCAGCUCGCUGGCGGCCUGCUGCGGAGCGCGGUGCAGCAGUCAGGGAGGGCACGCAUAGAAUGGGGGAUUGCAUGGCGCAGAUAGUGGCCAUGGGCGUGGGCGAAGCUCGUCGCGCCAUGGAUUUGCUUGUCGCCAUGGCUGCGUGUUAGGGAAGGGGCGGGCUGUGUUCACCGACUGUGCACAGGGAUUCAGCCACAAGGGGCUGCGAGCAUCGCGCUUUGCCUAGAGAAAUUUCGGACCGGGGGAGACAGCUCGGCCAAGGGCCGAGCAUGGCAGCGCACGAGGAACGCCCGAGAAUGAAAGGGGGAAUGGAGAAAAUUCGUCACCUGCGCACGAGGAACCGUGCUCCUCCUCUCCUGUUGCUGCAGCGCCUGGGGAACUUCUGAUCUGGGUAACUCCUUCAUGCGCAGGAAUAGAGUGAAGGGAACUGGCGUACUCGUAGGCGAGAAACAUGGGCACGACAAGACGAGAAAGAUAUGGUUUGGGAAGAUGAACAGGGCUCGGGCGGCCGCUGCCCGCUGGGGCGGAGCAAC
rnacentral:lncRNA from 1 species